ACCCGGGUCCUCCGUAAGAACAGUCAGUGCUUUUAAAUGCUAAGCCACCAAGUGCCCUUAAUUGGCCAAGCCAUCUCUCCAGCCCUAGUUUGAUUUAUUUCAUGCACAUUUUUACAAUGAAUACACUUAUUUAAUUUUUUGAGACAGAGUCUUUCUACAUGGCUCUGGCUGUCCUGGAACUCACUAUGUAGACCAGGCUGGCCUCCAACUCAUGGCAAUUCUCUUGCUUCCUGAGUGCUGGGAUUAAAGACAUGCACCACCACACCAGGCUGGCAUGCACAUUCUUUAACUAAUAUUAAGUAUGAUUUUUUUCAUAAGUGUAAGCUAGAACAUCUGAUUUUUUUUUCAAGAUGAACAGCAAAUUAGCAAGUUAUGUUAAGGCUUUUUCCCACAGACCCUAGCCUUUUCCUAUCUGAAAUAGAAUGGCAAAUAAUUCGUAAUGAGUAUGACUACCAGGUGCUUUUCUUAACACACUAACAUGUAUUGUUAACUCAUUAGUCCUCUUAACAAACCCAGCAUAAAUGCAAUGCCACUUCAUCUUAAAGAAAUGGUUUUUCUUUCUUGAGGUAGAGAUGCACCAUAUAAUCCAGGGUAGCCUCAAACUCACUUGUAGCCCAGGCUGUCCUUGAUCUUACCCUGCCUGUUGCCUCAGCCUACUGAGUCCUGAGAUGACAAGUGUGAGCCACCACACCACAUGUUUCCAGACUCUGGUCUGCUUCCCCAGUCCAUAAAGCAGAAAAGUUCCUCCACCAGAUUCUGCCUUACAGUCCUUCACCUGCCUCGUUCCUCUCUGAGCGCCACACUCCUGUGUUCAGAUGCUGACUCAGCGGCUCUGCUUGAGUUGUUCCUUGUCUUCUCGGUGGCAAAGUUGCCAAAAUAACUCUCCUGUUUGUCCACACAGACCUGCCCAGGUGCCCAGCAUCUGCCCUUUGGAUCCUGAGCCCCAACUCCUGAUUCCUUUUUCCACCACUCGCCUCUGCUCUGUCCUCAGGUCAACAGCUCCCUCCAUGACUUUGCACUACCAGGCCCAGCAUUUUCUGAGAGGAUUAUCUCGCAUAUUGUGAGUCCAGGAACAGAUAAAAUCCAAAAAUCAAAAUAUGUCUUCUCCAGAAAUGUCCUUGGUUCUCUGGCCAAAAAUGCCAGAAGGGAGCUCUAGUUUUUUGUCUUGUUUUGUUUUUGAGACAGGGUUUCUCUGUGUAGCCCCGAUGUCCUGGAACUCGCUUUGUAGACCAGCAGCUCGCAACCACCUGUGCCUCCAGGUCCAGGGGAUCCAGUGGUCUUUUCUGGACUCGUUGGGCACCAGGCAUGCAUGUAGUGCAUUGACAAACACGUAGGCAAAACAUCCCUACACAUAAAAAAUAAAUCUUUAAGAUAAAAUAAGGUGGAGAAAUGACUCUAAAGCCUAAGAUGAGCUGCGUUUUCUUACUGUGGCAUAUAAAACAAAACACAGUACAAUAAAAUAAUCUGCUUAAAAGUAGUGCACAUUUCCAAAGCCUGUAUUGGAGGGAAGACCGACCCCAGGCUGAGCGGCCAGCAGGGAAGCAAACCUUUCUGCAUUUCUUCGCUCGCUUGCAGUUCCUAACAGUCACCAGCAGAGGGAAAAGUAGUUUUGUUUCGAGUGGAUCCCGGCGCGGCACAAAUUCUCUCACUAAAGAGAAGCAACCGCGAGCUCCAGGGAGACCCCGGUCUGUGGGCGGUUAAGCUGGUCUGGAGGAGUCACUUGGACAGCACAGGCUCUGCCAGGCCGUUGCCCAGACUCUCGGCAGCUCCCCUCAAACGAGAGUCGAGGGAUAACUUGGUCGGGACUCCCUGCUGACCACCCAGCCUCGGACUCCUUCGCUGUCGCUGCGCAAAGCAUUCUCUCGAACCCGCGUACCCGGGAGGCGAGUCCGAGUGCAAUCCUGGGGAACCCAGCCCGGGUCCUAGUGCAAUUCUGGGGAACCGAGCCCAGGUCCUAGUGCAGUCCUGGGAGCCCGAAUUCCGGGCCGAGUGCGAACCAGGUAAGCAUCCUCUAGGGUCCGAGCGCGCCCCCGGCGAGCUCGCGCCAGCUUCACCGCGCAUUCCUGGAGCCGAGUCCACCCGCUUCAAGUCGAGACCAGGGCCAGGCGGAGGACUCAGGCGGUCCGAGUGCUGAAGGAUCUGGGCUGCAGCCCUGGGCACAGACCGCGGAGAGGACCAAGGAGCUGCGGUGUAAACGGUAAAAACAGUCACGCUAGUAAACGGGUCAAUGAGGGGCUGGAGAACCGCUGUUAAUUAGAACGGGCGUGAAGAACUCCGUCGAGGACCUCGGCUGGACUGUGAUGAGCAGUGCAGAGCCUGUGUCGGUGAGCUACCGAAAGGGAGACACGGACCUGCUCCGGGGACGUUUCCAGACACAGUGGAUGAGAGCAGAAACUGACAGAUUGCACACGGGAAGAGAACGUGCGGCGGGGUGGGAGGUUAGACCAGGGAACAGGCGGAGAGCAGCCGGCUAGACCCGCGGUUCCGCCAGCGCGGCCCGGGAGAGCGGGAGUCGUCGGCGCAGAUCCCGAGUCCACCGUUGCCACCGACGUUGUCAGCCGGUCAUCCCGGCCUGGGUAGCAGAAGCCCGGCGCGUCGGCAACAGGUUUGCUCCGAGCGGGACCGCGAGGGAAGACGUCAAGCUCUACGGGAUUUGGAGGCCGGCUGCCAGGAAAACGUAUGACACUUAAGUUCUGCACUGAAGCACAGUGUCUAAUCUGCCACCAAAGUCCCCUGCCUUCUGCUGGAACCAAUGGACAUGCCUGCUCUGCUGAAGCCGGAAGCCAGCUUCCUCAUUGGGUACAUAGCAAAUGGGACUCCCCAAGCAGAAGCCAGCAGCUCACCUACAGGAGGAGCCAUGUGGGGCAGGCUGCCAGGGCUCCCAGGACUCCAUGCGGGUCCUCAGGCUACAACCCAGGACCCGGGCGCUGCUCUGACCCCUCGUGUCUUGUGUUGCAGCCGGAGGGACGCAGGUCUGCAGCAGAGCCUGCCCGGUGGCCCCUGAGGGACUUGGCAUGGGGAACAGAGGCAGGCACUUUGGGAAAGCUAGGGCAGAAGGGCAGUGGGUUGUACCAGAGGUCUUGAACACAAGGUUCCUUCAUCCAUUCAGCCGGACAUAUAGAACCUGGGGCCUGCAGGAAGGUGAGGCUGGCUGUGUGUGCUGAACACAGCCAGGAUGCAGCACAACACAAAAGCAUGAACUUGGAACACAAUGGGAUUUUUUUUUUUUUUUGGUAACUCUUCUGUAGUUUUUGACCUGGAAUGUUGUAGAUGGCAAUGGAACAUUAAUGUUGCAAUUUCAAAGGAUUGAACAUGCUUGAUAGUAAGAGGAGGCCAGGGCAGUCCUGAGGACACAGGGUCCAGUAAAUGACCCUUAGCUUCUUACUGGAGUCCCAUGGGUCACUUGUCUACAAUUCUCCAUCCCAAGGCAUUGUCCUUAACUUAUAACCAGAUCCUUUCCAGUAUCUCAGACUGUCUUCUGUGACUCUCCAUGACUGCCCUGCAUCCUGGGCAGAAAGCAUCCAAAUGCCUGCAUUUUUAAUAAACCUUGCACCAUCUACAGGGCAUUCUUUUUUUUUUUUUUUAUAAGAAAUGGAUUGGUUUUAGAAAAUAAUCAGCUCAAUAUUUUUUUUCCUUCUCUUGAGUGGUGUGAAGGGAAACUGAGUAACAAGAGAGGCUGUAUUUUAAUCUGAAUAAUGGGAAAGCCAGGAAUUUGAAAGGAUUGAGUCUGGAACUGCUUUGCCUCAGAACAGGUGACCAUCAGGUUAAGCAGCCAUGCUGCAUUGCAUCCAUAAACCUAGACACUAUGUUUGUGGUGUCCUGCUUAGUAAAGACUAAAAAGAAACUCAAAACAGAUCAGGAAAAGUGUGGCUGACACCAGUUAGACAAUCCGGAGGAAGGAAGCCAACAGAUACUUGUGUAAAUCGAUGUGCAGGUAAGGCAUUCUGUAAGACGUUCCAUGACCAUGUUGGGGGACAUUCUCAGGAAAAUGAGAUACAUACAGUGGAGUAAUCAGAUAAAUAAACGUAUUAGGGACAAUAUAAGUAAUGUUGCUACCUAAACGAGAAGUCUUUUAACCUUUUUAAAAUUAGAUUUAUUCAUUUUGUCUUUUCCCUGAAUGUAGUGUGUAUCACAUGCAUGCUUGAUGUCUGUGGAGGUCAGAAGAGGGCAUUGGGCACCCUGAACUGGAGUUUUGGAUGGUUGUGAACCACCACCUGGGUACUGAGAAUUGAACCCAGGUCCUCUCCAAAAGCAGCAAAUGUGCUUAAUGGCUGAGUCACCUCUCCAGUCCUGAAAACUCUUAUAAGAUGGAAAGAGAUUGUUCUGUAACUGGGAGAGGGCAAAUGCUAGGGUAAAUGGUAGUGUUGAAGGAGAAUCAGAAGGAUUAUGAUUCCAUUCUAAACCAUCAGAUUAUGGUUUCAGUAUAGAUGCACACACACGGGGUGUGUGUGUGUAUACACAAUUAUUCCUUAACUCUUGUUCACAGAGCACACCUCACACCCAGAUCUUUGUUUGCAAAGAUGUUAUGUGAACAGUGUCCAGAGCUCCUUUAAGAAGUGGCUGAUGUUGGGUCUGGGACAAGACAUGCAAAAUAAGCCUGGAUCAUCUGGUACCAUAAAGGAAGGAAUGUCUGAAGGGACUGGCAAGAUGGCUCACUCGGCAAUGUGCAAGCCUGACGGGAGAGAACUGACUCCACAGUUUCCCUCUGACUUCCAUGUGUGCAUCUGACUCCAACACCACACACAUAUUAUACACCCUAAUAAUAAUUUUUUUUUAAAAAAUGAUAAGACUCAUCAAAAGGAUACAGAAGCCACCUAAAGAAGCUUCCAUGACCAUACUUGGGGCUAUUUGAUCACCACAAUACACAUGUAUGUUUUGGGGUUUUAUGGUGGGACAGUCCAGGGUCUCACUAUGUAUGUAGAUCAGGCUGGCCUCAAAAUCAUAGAGAUUAUCUCUGACUCUGGAGUGCUAGGAUAAAAGGCAUGUGCCACCAUAUCCAGCAUAGCAAAAUACAUGUUGAUAAUUAGUAAGAAACCAUGAGCCCAUGCUGACAAAAAAAAAAAAAAGUUAGUUCAUGAGCCAAGUGCUCAAUGAGGAGCAGGUUUACACCAUUCACAGACCCACAAGGAUAACAUUGCUACAGAGGAGAGGAACCUGGAAGGCCUGCCCUCCAUCAAAUACAUCAUCCACAAAGAACAGACUGUGUCACAAUCUCUAUGAGAACCAUGGACUCACGAUCCUGCCAAAGUCGAAUGACCUGCAUCUAAUCACAAGGAAACAUCUCUUCUGCUGAAACUGAGAUGCAGUCUAGAAAAUAGCCGACCGAUAAUGUUAAAAAAUUCAAUGUCCUAAAAUUCUAUGAGUUUCUUCAAACAAGUCAAAGCGACUCUGACCAGAGAUACUUCAAGUGACAAGAAGAUGUGUUAUGCUAGACCUCAUUGUGACCAGUCAGGUGGAAAUAGAAUGAUGAGUGGAAAUGAUGGAAACAAAGGGAGCUGUGAACCGACAAGCUGGUGUCAGCACCAGGAGAUGAAUGUACAGUUUACAGGAAGAGCCGCGUUUGAGUCUUGGCUCAUCGGUGAAUAGCUGCUUGCUCUGCCUCCUGGUACUGAGCGUUGUGGACCAACAUCACCUGAGACUGCAACAGACCUUUUCCUUCCACUGAGGUAUGACAUGCACCCCAGCAGAGCAGCUUCCACCUACUGCCCAGUUUGAUGACAGACUUUAGAUGUUAUACAUUUGCACCCCCAUGGCUAAAUUCCCCUCGUUGCCUCAAAAUUUCCCAAGGACAUGGCAUCUAGACUCACUGCCAUUUCAGAUGUCAACAUGGUGACAGCCAUUGUGGUCGUAGGUUGGAGCUAUGGUCCAAAAGUGAUCUGAUCAGCCCAGAAAAACUAGGCUGUUCCUUCUCUAGAUUCUUCCAUGGGACUGGAGUGUCGUUAGCUUCGUUAGCAGCCUCAUCACAUCUUGGUUUAUCUUGGAUUUGCAUUUCUCUAGAAUGAAAACCACCACUAUUUUCUUUAUUUUUAUUUUUUUUUUAAUUCCCAAGACCUCACCAAUAUUUUCAAGUAAACUUUUUUUCAGAGCCAGGCCCUUGGUGUUCACCCUAUAUAUGAAUAUUUGUGUGUGUGCCAUAUUAAUAUCUAUACUUAUUAGUGAUAUAUAUGUUUACACACACAUAUAUAUAUAUUUCUAAACUUGUUUAUAACUACAUUCAUGUGUUAGAUUUCUGAAACUGUGACAAAAAACUCUUAAGAUAAUCAUCAUACAAGGAAGAAAGGUUUCUUUUGGCCCAUGAUUUCAUAGGCUUCAUCCCAUGAUCAUCUGGGCCCAUUGCCUUUGGGCCUGUGGUAUGUAAGGCAGAAUACCAUGGUAGCAGCACAUAGCAGAGAAAGCUAAUCACUUCAUAGUGAAACAGAAUAGAAGGGGUCUGGGGUCCCACAGCCCAGCUAAGGUCACAUAUUCAGUAACCUUUCUUCCAUGAAACCCUGCCUCCUAAGUGUUCUACUACCUCUCAAUGUCAACAUAGGCUGGAGACCAAGCAUUUGAUACAUAGGCUUUUGGGGGCUAUCCAAACUUUAGCAGUUUGAUUAUGUGAAGAGUCUCCCCAAUACUAAGCCUGAUAUUACAUACCUAACAUCUCUUGAUAGGAUGCUAUGAGUGCGCACUGGCUUUUUGCCACACUCAAAAGAGAGCGAGAUUAACUUCAUGCAGAUUUUUACAGCUAACACAUUCAGAUACACUACUUCUACCAGAGUUGGUGAGCAGGGAACUGUAGCGGCCAUUGGGGCACUGUUUCUCUGGGUCCCAGUGACUAUGCCUGUCCAGGGACUGGUUGGCCUAGAUUAUAUCAUCUGUGUUUCCCAGCCCUAAGAUUUUUGCCAAGACUAAACUUCUACUUUCCUUUUCUGGGGCCAUGCUUACUCUUCCGUUCACUCCCAGCACCUCACUUUCAUCCCCGGGACUGUCAACCCCCCUCCUUGAGAUUCCCAUUCUGGACCUGUCAUACCCACUGUCACUCCUACUCAGCAGCAUGUGAUACUCAGACCCUCUGGGUCUUGUCAAUCACUGGUCACACAUGUUAGCCACACUGGCCUGCAGAUCCUUAGUCACUGGAAGAGUCCAGAACACUGCUGUCUCCAAAACCAUUUUAAAGAUGGAUUUCCAAAUGUCACCCACAGUACAAAUAAGAUGAACAGUAGCCGCACAUGACCCUGAAGCAAGUCUUUAACCUCCCUGGCUAUCUGUAGCCAGCAGGGUCAGGCAUAAGGGGACUGUGAUGGUUAGUUUUAAUGUUCAACUUGGCACAAUCUAGUAUCUCCUAGGAAGGGGGUUCCCAAGGAGGGAUCACCUACAUUGGGUUGACCUAUGAAGGAUUUUUCUUAGUUGGGUUAAUUGAGUUGGGAAAACCCACCUUGAAUGUGGACAACACCCAUUAUGGGCUGGGCCCUGAAAACUGUAUGCGUUUUUUUUUUUUUUUUUUUUUUUU